rnacentral:lncRNA from 10 species
GGAAGCCUGAGACGCAAUAGAUGGAGACUCUCCUUUUCGCCUUGGCGUACUCUUUUUUUUUUUUUCCUCCCUGGAGCUGGUCUUGUGGGGCAGCCCUAAAAUGUAUCUCCAAGUGACCCUGCACUCAUCACUUGCUGCCUUGGACUUAGUUUCCUCAUUCGUAGAAUGGAGACACCACACUUUCUGAAGUGCUUAUGAGACUUGCAGGAGCCAAAAUCUGGAGUCAGACUGGUCAACAAUCAAUGUGAAACACAAAAACAAACAAACAAACAGCCAAGGUGUUGAAAGGAGGCUGACUUUCCUAGAUAAGAUAAUUAAAUGCAAUGCGUGUCCCUGUUGAAUCAAUCAAAGUUUGAACAAACCACUUGUAAAGGACACCUUGAGGACAGUUUGAACAAACCACCUGUAAA